CCCUUCAUUCCACCGGAAUCUGUAGAGGCAGAAACCAGAUUUCAGUGUAAUGAAGCCCA
rnacentral:pre_miRNA from 1 species